rnacentral:tRNA from 1 species
UGCCCCAUAGCCAAGCGGUAAGGCAUUGGACUCUGACUCUAAGACGCGUUAGUUCGAAUCUAACUGGGGCAG